CGUCACCUCCGACCUAUGUCAGCCCGUGGACCCCUCAGACAGCUCGUGGGCCAUACCAUCUACUCCUGACCUUCUCUCGCACGUAUCUCCUUCGUCUGGACUCCGUUUGGACUGUUCUUAUGUUCGUUGAAUUUCGUUCGUCAUCUUAGAUCUCGUUCUUGAUUUAUUAUGGACCGAAUCUCAAUAUAUUUUUCUCAAUAGGUUAAGUAUAAAACUAUAUCCUAAAAAGAACAAAUGUAUCGAUCUAAUUGACUUCUAGGGCAUACAUCUAACACUUUCUACUUUUCUAUUUUUCAAUAUCUGUUCUCAAGAUCCCAGCUGACUUAAGCAUCAGAGAGUUCUAAAUCGAAAGAUACCCCACUGGUUUUAGAACUUCUUUUGCAUGGUUACUUACGGACUUCAUCUACUUGAUCCUCUUCAGCACUCUAGCUCGAUUCUUGACCGACCUUUUUGGAGCCUUGCAGCAACAAGUAGCAUAAUCAAAAUAUGGAUG
rnacentral:lncRNA from 1 species